UACGGGGGGGGGGCAAGCGUUGUUCGGAAUUACUGGGCGUAAAGGGCUCGUAGGCGGGCUGGAAAGUUGGGGGUGAAAUCCCGGGGCUCAACCCCGGAAUGGCCUUCAAAACUCCCAGCCUAGAGUUCGAGAGAGGUGAGUGGAAUUCCGAGUGUAGAGGUGAAAUUCGUAGAUAUUCGGAGGAACACCAGUGGCGAAGGCGGCUCACUGGCUCGACACUGACGCUGAGGUGCGAAAGCGUGGGGAGCAAACAGG
rnacentral:rRNA from 1 species